AAUCAACGCUGGCGGCGUGCCUCAGACAUGCAAGUCGAACGCGAAAUUUCCCUUCGGGGAGAAAGUAGAGUGGCGCACGGGUGAGUAACACGUAGGUAAUUUGCCUUUGGGUGGGGAAUAACUCAGGGAAACUUGAGCUAAUACCGCAUAAUGCAGCGGCUCGACAUCGAGACAGUUGUUAAAGCGGGGGAUUGGAGCAAUCCGACCUCGCGCCUAAAGAGAAGCCUGCGGCAGAUUAGCUAGUUGGUAAGGUAAUGGCGUACCAAGGCGACGAUCUGUAACCGGCCUGAGAGGGCGGUCGGUCACACUGACACUGACAUACGGGUCAGACUCCUACGGGAGGCAGCAGUCGGGAAUUUUGGGCAAUGGGCGCAAGCCUGACCCAGCAACGCCGCGUGAAGGAUGAAAUUUUUCGGAAUGUAAACUUCGCAAGAACAGGAAGAAUAAGUGUAGGACAAUACCCACAUGAUGACGGUACUGUUUGUAAGCUCCGGCUAACUCCGUGCC
rnacentral:rRNA from 1 species